UGGAGGCGCUGAGUUGCAACUUCUUCAUCCGUUGCUUCUCCAUCUGGAUCGGAUUCUGGGUCAAACUGAAAUGCUUCAAUGUGUCUUCGUGAUGUGCAUGCGCGAUUCAUUUUCAGUCUGGACGCGGAGGAGUUAACAUCUCCUGCUCUGACUGCAGCUAGGAGCAACCGCUGUAUGAGGACUGGGCCGUAUGUGAGCGCUUUCAGAUGGGGGAGGGUCCCACGGUGGCAUCUGCUGUUCAUUGAGAAGAGUAAGAACAAGUCUCCAAUAACAACCAAGCGUGCCGCACAAGCCCUGAAUAGUGAAGCCAAAACGUCUCGAUCGCCCCCUGGUGAGUGGUCCCAGUAUAGGUCAUAAACCCCGCCCUCCCCAUGUUAUUCAAUGGGACGCGAGACCAACUAAACAAUUAAAUUACCCUUCAAAUAUAUUUUUUCAGAAGCUGGUUUCUGUCAUUUACUGUAGUUUGUAUCACGCUAAUGUAAAUUCAAGAGUUUGUUUUUAAAAUAACUUUGUUUUUAGUUAGUUAUUUAAUGCUCUAAAAACGGUGGUGUGACGUCGUGAUUCACAGCUGUGAUUGACAGCUAUCUGAGCCGAGGAGCCACUGAAUCUUCGGAGGACUGAGGGGAUUGGAACUUUACAUUUAAUCUCAAAAUUUCUAUAAUUGAUCUAAUUGCACAUGGACAUAAUGGGCUGUUCUGCAGUACAUUGUGCUAACCGAUCUGGCAUUUCCAAUCGAUCUUUGAAUUUUUUUCGGUAAGUUAAAUUUAUAAGCUAUUUAAUUAGUAAAUAAAUGUAAUGGGCUAGCUAACGUUAGCUAAAAGACAACAAGCCUCGUUAAUAGCCAUGUUAAUAGCUAGCAGGUGAUCGUUAGCUAGAAGUUACCAAUUAUUUUUGUAUUAGGCCUAUUCUAAAUUAAGGUUAAACAUGAUGUAAGUUAGGCUAUAACAUAUCGCCUAGGUUUAACAAGCAAAGGUUGUACUGUACUUGGACUUGCGAUUGAUUACGGUAUGCGCAUUCUGCGAGGGAGAGUGAGGGCGGGGCACAGGGGUGGGGCCGUUGAUUUCGCGGCUUUACGGCUUUACUUCCUUCUCGCUACUGCGCAUAACUACUGCGCAGAACUGGUCCCAAGAUCGCUAUGUGCGCAGACGCAAGUCCAAGAUGUCAGCGCCGUAUCAGGACACUGGUGGCUUCAUUUUUCACCAAUGGAAAAGAGCGAAAGGGCGUCGUCCAUUUUAUAUACAGUAAAUGAUAACAACACAGAAAGUCGCUAGAUUUGUCUUCUAGUCGCUUUUCUGAAAAGAAGUCGCUAAGGGGGUCUGAAAAGUCGCUAAAUCUAGCAACAAAAUCGUUAAGUUGUCAACACUGCACCCCCACAGCAGUAGACGCCUACGCGGAUCCACAUCCAAGUCGCGAAACCCGCGUGACUGUCACAUUCGUUUUGGCACCGCCCAGAGGAUCCGCUCCUCCUCCGGGCAGCGCGGUGAAUUCUACUGUCCCACACUGGACUCGUGUCGGAUCCGCAGAAGUGGACGCGCCUUUACUGUAAAGGUUGAACUACAUCCUCUUGGUGUGCUCUUGCCACGCCGAGACAAGAGUCAUAUCAGUGGAGAUUUUCUUUCCUGGGACACGGUUGCGCUGAACUAUCUGAGUAAGUGUAUUGAUUUAUUGCGACAUUCACAGCAAACAUAGGCCUUUGUGUUUUUUUGCUCAUCAUGUAUAAUGAUUGUAAUGACGUUGUUUGAUAUUAGGACUUUUGUGCAACAUGCUAUUGCUAGCUGAGAGAUUAUGAUGAUAUUGUAGCCCAUUUGAUUUAAAAUGGGAUAGUCAUUUCGGCAGAAUAUGUUAUGGUAGUGUGAUAAAGACUGGUUUGGUCUGUUUUAAUGUGUCGCUGCUAUCCAUAUGUAGCUUUUGCUAUGUUAGCAGCAUGUAGCUGCUAGCUAGCAUGCUGCUAGGCGCGAUUGCAUCAUUUCGCAAGUAUUGAUAAUGCCUAUAUAUAGCUAUAUGUUUGAGUUCACGUUUGCGAUGCAAACCUAUAGCUGAUAAAUUGGCACUGGUAUUUCAGUCAAUGAAGUGGGGUCAAUAUUACAGUCAGUGAAGCACUUGUCUGCUAUGAUAGCUAGCAGGUACAAUUUUAGCAUGUUUAGUUUCUAGCUAGCUGUGCAUUAAGUUUGCAUUUUGUCAAGUUUGGUCUCAUGUGUAAUGUCUAUCUGCCAUCCUCUUUAUAAUGAAAAUCAAGCUUCGGCAUUUUAAUCACUGUUUAAGUUGGUUCAGACAACUAAUGGGUAUUGGCGCCUGUUUGAACGUCAAGAAGUACGGGCUUUUCUGCUAAUGGUUGCUACCGAACAUUACUUUGAAACCAUUCAGCAAAUACACAGUACAUAUGGAGAUUUAACAACACCGCUCAUUUUACACACCGUUUAAAAUGAGCGGCUAGUAAUGAGUGAACAUUACUAGCUAGCUAGCUACGUUUUUCAUGUUGGUUUUGAGCGGUAGGCUCCCCCACUAACCUAGAAAAUAGUUUUAAAACAGUAAAAUUAGCUAGCUAGCUAGCUAAUACGGAGGAAUACUCCAUCCAGCGGGGGGAGUCAGAGGCAGAGGGACAGUCACCGCAGCGUUAGCUAACGUUGGCUUCUUGUUUCAUUUGGGGUCUAAUAAACAGUCUAGUUUGUAGCAAUGAAACAGACAACACCACUAUUCAACAAUGUUUUUAUUAAAAUACAACAUUAGAAAUGAUAAUUUUACACACCUGAUAAACGUGUCUUUCUGAAAUGUCUCUUUUUUUAGAACAAAAAUGAAUAGAAAGACUGUGCCUGUCUCCUUAUCAACCUUAAGACGAAGGACACGUGUAGACGUUCAAAAAAGGCAUCAUCAAAUUAGGACAGACGACUGACAUGGACAGGGGCAGAUGACUGAGUUCUUUGAGGACACUGCCCCCACCCUCUUUAGCUGCACAUGCAAUGCCAGAGGUGCAAGUUGAUACUGAAGAUGACAUGGAAUUGGAGGCAGAUUUUGAUGAUCUGUACAUUACUCUGGAUAAAAAUUUGCUGAUGCCUUUUCAUCAAAUUGAAUUUCACGCAAGCGAGGACAUUUUUGUGCCAGUUGACUGGUAUGAUGACGUGAUGGUGUACUGGCCCAGCUGAACGUGUGAAACGGGCAGCUGCUAACGAGGAGAAGCAUGAGCCAAACUGGCCAAGAUAUGACGUAAAGGUCGUCAGAACUUGUGACAACUACAAAGACGCCAUCAGGCUAAUGAAUCAAUAUCAGACCGGUUACAACGCCUCUGAGCUACAGUCUGAGGCAGAGCAGGAGGGAUAGCUGCCAGAGAAAUAAGUCAGGAAGCCAAUCCAUCGUUUUGGGGACUCUGAUGAGAAUGAAGAAGAGUUUCCCCUAGGACAAUUGGAGGCAGUGGAGGCAUUUGAAAUGUUUUUAAAGGAACCGUCAAAUGGCCCAGCUCGACAGAGCGUGGUGCUGUGAGGAAAAACACAGUGACACGGUCAGCCACGGACGCAGAGGUCACCAAGCACGCAAUCAGGUGGUUCAACCUGGCAGCGGAUCGGGCAACGAGGAGACGUGUCCCGCCUCAAGCCACACAAACGGAGUAAUAGGAGAAAUAAGCAAUAGACAAUAUUUUUAUUGAACUUCUUGUCGUUCACCAGUUAUUAAUUUUCUGAUAUUUUAGCUGUGCAUUUCAUUGAAGUUUUAGCCUAAUGGAUAAAAUAUUUUAUGUCUGCACCGACCUGGGCCUAUAAAGCACUAAAUUAGGUUUUGACCACAAAAUGAAUGUAAAGCAGCUUAGCCAAC
ensembl:lncRNA